rnacentral:rRNA from 1 species
CCGGCGAUUUCCGAAUGGGGAAACCCAGUGUGUUUCGACACACUAUCAUUAACUGAAUCCAUAGGUUAAUGAGGCGAACCGGGGGAACUGAAACAUCUAAGUACCCCGAGGAAAAGAAAUCAACCGAGAUUCCCCCAGUAGCGGCGAGCGAACGGGGAGGAGCCCAGAGCCUGAAUCAGUGUGUGUGUUAGUGGAAGCGUCUGGAAAGGCGCGCGAUACAGGGUGACAGCCCCGUACACAAAAAUGCACAUA